rnacentral:rRNA from 1 species
GAUGAACGCUGGCGGCGUGCUUAACACAUGCAAGUCGAACGGGAAACCUUUUAUUGAAGCUUCGGCAGAUUUAGCUGGUUUCUAGUGGCGGACGGGUGAGUGACGCGUGGGUAACCUGCCUUAUACAGGGGGAUAACAACCAGAAAUGGUUGCUAAUACCGCAUAAGCGCACAGGUCCGCAUGGUCCGGUGUGAAAAACUCCGGUGGUAUAAGAUGGACCCGCGUUGGAUUAGCUAGUUGGCAGGGUAACGGCCUACCAAGGCGACGAUCCAUAGCCGGCCUGAGAGGGUGAACGGCCACAUUGGGACUGAGACACGGCCCAGACUCCUACGGGAGGCAGCAGUGGGGAAUAUUGCACAAUGGGGGAAACCCUGAUGCAGCGACGCCGCGUGAAGGAAGAAGUAUCUCGGUAUGUAAACUUCUAUCAGCAGGGAAGAUAGUGACGGUACCUGACUAAGAAGCCCCGGCUAACUACGUG